rnacentral:rRNA from 1 species
AACGAACGCUGGCGGCGCGCCUAAUACAUGCAAGUCGAGCGAGAAGACGUAGCAAUACGUUUGUAAAGCGGCGAACGGGUGAGGAAUACAUGGGUAACCUACCCUCGAGUGGGGAAUAACUAGCCGAAAGGUUAGCUAAUACCGCGUACGCUCCUUGGACUUCGGUUCAGGGAGGAAAGCGAUACCGUGGGUAUCGCGCUCUUGGAUGGGCUCAUGUCCUAUCAGCUUGUUGGUGAGGAACGGCUCACCAAGGCUUCGACGGGUAGCUGGUCUGAGAGGACGAUCAGCCACACUGGCACUGCGACACGGGCCAGACUCCUACGGGAGGCAGCAGUAAGGAAUAUUGCGCAAUGGGCGAAAGCCUGACGCAGCGACGCCGCGUGGGGGAGUGAGGGGUCUUCGG